UGUACAUACUUAUGUAUAUUAAUAAUAUUAACAAAGGUGCAUAUAUUAAAGACGAAAAAUAUGACAACUUUAAGGAUUGUAGGACGGAUUUUUCUAGAAACAUGGAAAUCUAACCUGGAAUUCCCCCAAUUGAACUUACCGAUUUUGCGGUGCAGCAAAUUCGAUGUUAUUCAGAAUCAAAGCCUUGAAAAGACGAACACGACGAACAAAAGUAUUAAAUGUUUAACUUCACUUGUAAAAAUGUAACUUUUUUUUUUGAUUUUUGUAUUUUUUACGAAAUAAAGAACACUCAAGAAAUGCAAUGUAAAGACUGCAUUGAACAAGUUAUUAAUUAUUUUUUUUUAAGUUUAUUUUUGGGUAAUAAACCAAUUUUUAGU